AUUGAACGCUGGCGGCAGGCCUAACACAUGCAAGUCGAACGAGGGGCGGACGGGUGAGUAAUGUCUGGGAAACUGCAUGAUGGAGGGGGAUAACUACUGGAAACGGUAGCUAAUACCGCAUACCAUCAGAUGUGCCCAGAUGGGCUUAGCUUGUUGGUGGGGUAACGGCUCACUAAGGCGACGAUCCCUAGCUGGGCUGAGAGGAGGACCAGCCACACUGGAGGUGAGACACGGUCCAGACUCCUACGGGAGGCAGCAGUGGUGAAUAUUGCACAAUUGGGGCAAGCCUGAUGCAGCCAUGCCGCGUGUAUUGAAGAGGCCCUCGGGUUGUAAAGUACUUUCAGCGGGGGGGCGUUACCCGCAGAAGAAGCACCGGCUAACUCCGUGCCAGCAGCCGCGGUAAUUC
rnacentral:rRNA from 1 species